GAUGAACGCUGGCGGCGUGCUUAACACAUGCAAGUCGAACGGAGCCUAGCGAGUGCUUGCACUUGACGAAAGCUUAGUGGCGGACGGGUGAGUAACGCGUGAGCAACCUGUCCUCUACGAGGGGGAUAAGACAGCGAAAGUUGUUCUAAUACCGCAUAAGACCACGGGAUCACAUGGUCCAGGGGUCAAAGGAGCAAUCCGGUAGAGGGUGGGCUCGCGUCCGAUUAGAUAGUUGGUGAGGUAACGGCCCACCAAGUCAACGAUCGGUAGCCGACCUAAGAGGGUGAUCGGCCACAUUGGGACUGAGACACGGCCCAGACUCC
rnacentral:rRNA from 1 species